CUUGCUUUAGGAAGCGGAAGACUAAUGACCGAAGCUUCAAGACUUUGACAUGUGUGAAAACAUGAAAUGACCCUUGGCUCUUAUUGUUCUUGCUGGUGUGGUAUGUUCACGGCUGAAAAGAUGGUCAGAAGGGGAAAGGAGGAAGUGAGAAGAAAGAAACAGGGAAAUGACAGAGUGUUGCUCAGUUACCCAGGCUGGAGUGCAAUGGCAUGAUCUUGGCUCACUGCAGCCUCCACCUCCUGGGUUCAAGCGGUUCUCGUGCCUCAGUCUCCCAAGUAGCUGGGAUUACAGGCUGGAGUGCGAUGGCAUGAUCUUGGCUCACGGCAAACUCCGCCUCCCUGGUUCAAGUGAUUCUCCUGCCUCAGCCUCCCGAGUAGCCGGGAUUACAGGCAUGUGCCACCAUGCCCCGUUGGCCAGGCUGGUCUCGAACACCUUACCUCAGGUGAUCCUCCCACCUUUGGGAUUACAGGCUGAGGAAUUACCAAGGAGGCAGGAGGUGGAGCAAAACACACCAAGCCUGGUGCCAAUCAUUGACAAUAUUAUGGUUAGUACUUACUGAGGGCUGACUAUGGUUGAAACUGCCUUUGCAAAAUUAUGACUGAGACGGUGAAAGAGAUCUAACUUAACCAACGCUAGCUAUCUUGCCUCUAACCUCCAAGCUGUCCUUGUUCAUUCCUGGGCAUAGGCUGAACUAACUUUGGGAGAAAUUUAGUUUAUAGUUUGAAACAAAGAUGAUAACAGCCCUUUGCCAAAGCAGACCUCCUUCUUGUCUGGGGACUAGAUGGCCUUUGUAGGACUAACAUGAGCCACAAGAUUAGAAAUUAUGGAUAGGAGUCAUGCAGCUGGAGUCUCCAAGAUUCUGACCCUCCCUAAACUGCUCCCAAGAUCAAUGCUUGAGAUAUUUUGCAGACCCUGCAUGUGAUGGAUCAGCUGACACCAUCCAGAUCGGUAAACUGGUUCAUCUGAUCUUGUGCCCUCCACCCAGGAACUGACUCAGCGCAAGAAGACAGCUUCGACUCCUUGUGAUUUCAUCCCUAACCAAUCAGCACUCCUGGCUCACUGGCUUCCCCCAACCCACCAAAUUGUCCUUAAAAACUCUGCUCUCCAAACGCUGGGGGAGACUGAUUUGAGUAAUAAUAAAACCCUGGUCUCCUGCA
ensembl:lncRNA PCED1B-AS1 PCED1B antisense RNA 1